UCUGCCGGCCGGGCGGCCGCGCGCGGAAACGCUCGAGGAACGUCCGGGCUCCACAGGGCAGGGUGAUGGCUAACAGCCACCCGGGGUAACCCGCGGGACAGUGCCACAGAAAACAAACCACCGGCGCGUAUGCGGCGGUAAGGGUGAAAAGGUGAGGUAAGAGCUCACCAGCGGCGCGGGUGACCGCGUCGGCUAGGUAAACCCCACCCGGAGCAAGACCGAGCAGCAGGCAGGGCGGCCCGUCCGAUGCCUGCGGGUAGGUUGCUGGAGGCCGUCGGUAACGACGGUCCUAGAUAGAUGGUCGCCACCGCACCGCCGGUAACGGCGUGCGUGACAGAACCCGGCGUAUAGGCCGACAGAUGCC
rnacentral:RNase_P_RNA from 1 species